CCCUUGGCCUAACUGCCGCGGGCCUGGCGCGCAGAGGGAAGAGCCCCCUUAUUUGGUCUUGGAAAGAAAAGGGAAAGGUUAUCCUCGGAUGCCUGCGGCGUUGGGUCAUCAGCCCGCCGCGGCCGGCGCGCACGCGGGAGCAGCUCCGACUCCCGCCGGCAGGGGGCGGCGCCGGGCAGCGCCGGGGAGCGGCCGCUGGAAAACAGAAGGAAGCAAAAGGGCGUCAGCACCUGGAGGUGACUCUAGUGGGGAACCUGCGCCCCAGAGGUGGGAAGGAAGCCAGGGGGCAUUCGUUUCGCCUCAACUGCCCCAGGGGUUCUUGUCCAUCUCCAGAGAGGCUCUUGGGUAGCAUCCUGCCAUGGUCUCACACGGUCCUCCGCCCCUUCUCAUUGUUCCAGCUGCUUCCUGAGGUGGUUACUAAUAAUUGUCACUCAUAAGACCUGCCUCGGGUUUCUUCAUCUGGAAGGAAAUUAAUUUUCCAAGUCACACAAUUACAGACAACUUUUAAAAGAGUCACUGAGACAGUUUCAUGCUUACCUUAGAUUAGAUGGUUCCAGUUUAUUCUUUUUUAAAAAAGAAAAUUUGUGUGAACAAAAUUAAAUCCAAGAA
rnacentral:lncRNA from 1 species